ensembl:lncRNA
GGGUAAAAUGUUCAUUUCAUAGUAGUUUUGCCAGUUUUCUUCUUCUACUCACUGUUUUUAUUACAUUAAGAACAAAGGAAGAUAACCAUAAGGCAACACUUCAUUUUUCUCCAGAGUAAAAUGCAUGCAAAGAUCAACCAUUUGACUCCCCUGUCAAAUGUUUAGCUGCUUUCCUCAGUCCUCCAUAGUGUUAAAUUGUGACGCAGGUAGGGAACAGCCCCCACCCCCUCACCCCGUCUGACCUGUGCAUCUGUUGGUGAAAGCUCUGCAGUCAUAUUCCCCUGUUUUCACGUGCUCGGAGCAGCAGUGCAGAAAUGCUCGAGCAGAUGAUCAUAGCAAUGUCUGUUCUCCUGACCCUCUUCCAUGCCGAACUUACUGAAUCCUCCUCAAGCUGCUAUCAUGAGCAAGGUUUGAGAUUUUCUGUUGCUUCUUUUAAUUCAGUUAUGCAGCUGAUUUGUUGAUGUGGUGUGCAGCAUAUCCUUGUGGAUGCAGAAUAUUUAUCAAAGACAGAGUUGUACAAAUUAAAUUAAUAUUACAAAAUUAAACUUUGCAUUAAUUAAACAAAUCAAUAGACAAAAAAGAGGGGCACAAACAGUAGAAGUAUGCGGUGCACCACAUCCUCAAUCUCUAACUUUCUCUUUCAAAAUCAAAAUGUGCAUAUAUGCUUUUAUCUUUCAGCCGAAAUAAAAAGAGUGGAUGAAAAUGCAACAGCAUUUGUGUCCUGUCCAGCACUUGCAGUGCAUAAAAAACCAUCUAUCACUCUAUACAAGGGAAAUACAAAGCUGCACUCAACAAACCUGAGUGAUGUGGACAGUAAUAAAACAUGGCAGCGUUUUCAGGUGUACAUACAAAACUCCUCAGUCUCAUAUAAGAUUUUAAGGACUGAAGCCAAUGACACAGGACUCUACAACUGUGUAAUCGACACGCACAUCAGGACAAAGGAUUCACUAACUAUGUUGCUCAUUAAAGACGGUCUGCUGCCCAUAGAAUCAACUGUAACUUGUCCCACUGAUCAGAUACUGCCACUUAUUGUUGGCUGUGUGGUCAUCAUUGUAUAUAAUCUGUUCGUCACUGUCUUUGGCUGUUACCUCAAAUAUAAACUCAAGAACACAGAGCCAGCUGAGAAUCCCUACAUAAACACAAGACCAAGAGGAUUCAGACGACGCUAA